CACGGGGGGAGCAAGCGUUGUUCGGAAUCACUGGGCGUAAAGGGCGUGUAGGCGGUCAGGUAAGUGGGAUGUGAAAUGCCCCGGCUCACCCGGGGACCGGCAUCCCAUACUGCUUGGCUUGAGUGCGGCAGAGGAGACUGGAAUUCCUGGUGUAGCAGUGAAAUGCGUAGAUAUUAGGAAGAACACCAGUGGCGAAGGCGGCUCACUGGUCCGGUACUGACGCUGAGGUGCGAAAGCGUGGGGAGCGAACAGG
rnacentral:rRNA from 1 species